GAAGGGGAUAACACUUGGAAACAGGUGCUAAUACCGUAUAACACUAUUUUCCGCAUGGAAGAAAGUUGAAAGGCGCUUUUGCGUCACUGAUGGAUGGACCCGCGGUGCAUUAGCUAGUUGGUGAGGUAACGGCUCACCAAGGCCACGAUGCAUAGCCGACCUGAGAGGGUGAUCGGCCACACUGGGACUGAGACACGGCCCAGACUCCUACGGGAGGCAGCAGUAGGGAAUCUUCGGCAAUGGACGAAAGUCUGACCGAGCAACGCCGCGUGAGUGAAGAAGGUUUUCGGAUCGUAAAACUCUGUUGUUAGAGAAGAACAAGGAUGAGAGUAGAACGUUCAUCCCUUGACGGUAUCUAACCAGAAAGCCACGGCUAACUACGUGCCAGCAGCCGCGGUAAUACGUAGGUGGCAAGCGUUGUCCGGAUUUAUUGGGCGUAAAGCGAGCGCAGGCGGUUUCUUAAGUCUGAUGUGAAAGCCCCCGGCUCAACCGGGGAGGGUCAUUGGAAACUGGGAGACUUGAGUGCAGAAGAGGAGAGUGGAAUUCCAUGUGUAGCGGUGAAAUGCGUAGAUAUAUGGAGGAACACCAGUGGCGAAGGCGGCUCUCUGGUCUGUAACUGACGCUGAGGCUCGAAA
rnacentral:rRNA from 1 species